UUGAGGUUUUUGGUUUACUUGAUGUAAAUCAAACUUCCCACCCCAUGAUAAUUUAUUUUGGACAUAGCUUCGGUAGGACUGUUUUCUUUUUGGUUUCACAGUCAAAAAGAACGAUUGAUAGUUGCAAAGCUAUUGAUUAGUGCUUACCGAUAGCAUCAAACAAAAAACUCUUGAUAAUUUGUUGUCUAUUCAAUUAAAAAAUGAAUUA
rnacentral:misc_RNA from 1 species